UAAGGAGGGUGCAAGCGUUGUUCGGAAUCAUUGGGCGUAAAGCGCGUGUAGGCGGCUUGGCAAGUCGGGUGUGAAAUCCCGGGGCCCAACCCCGGAACUGCAUUCGAAACUGCCUCGCUAGAGUCCCGGAGAGGAAGGCGGAAUUCCCGGUGUAGAGGUGAAAUUCGUAGAUAUCGGGAGGAACACCAGCGGCGAAGGCGGCCUUCUGGACGGUGACUGACGCUGAGACGCGAAAGCGUGGGGAGCAAACAUG
rnacentral:rRNA from 1 species